CCCGGUGACGAUAGCGGAGGGGACCCACCCGUUUCCAUCCCGAACACGGAAGUUAAGCCCUCUUGCGCCGAUGGUACUGCAGGACAGAACCUGUGGGAGAGUAGGAAAUCGCCGGGU
rnacentral:rRNA from 1 species